CAUUCCCAUCAAUUCUCAUACCAACAACCAAAACACAAAGCAAUUCUUGAAAUCAUAGGUUCCUCUAAUAUUUAGAUUAAGUUAGAAGCUCAUAAUACCAAUUUCAAUGGUUACCUUGGCCAAAGACAAUUGGUUUAGAAGAAAGAGGAAGAGGAAAAAACAAAUUCAGAGAAUGUUAUUCAUCAGCAUUAUUGCAUCUGCAAUUCACCAAAUUAUACUCUGAUGGGUAUGAGACUUAAACCAAGCAGCUGUGGAAGUGACAUUCGUUGUGGUCAUCAACUCUUUAAGGCUAUAAUCCUCUCUUCGGCGUGGCGCCUGUCACCUAAAAGAGGCUCGACUUCCAUGAAGGGACUUGGCCCUUUGAGAGAUGAUGACUAGACACACAACAAUACACUUCCACAAUAUAUUUUAAGAAGGUUCUCUAGUUUGAAAAGCAGUCUCAUACCUCUUCAAAUGGGAAAAGGUUGCAAGGGUAGAAUUGAAUUCUUUUUUGUAUGUCUAUGACAUUCAAGAGAGAUUUUCUACCAGCUAAUUUUUUCUCUCAGUCGCCCAAUUAUCUUUUCUACCAUGUUUGCUCUUCCUUCCUUUAGCAACAACGUUGUUGAAGGCGGUUGUAUCUGCUUCAAUAUUAGAUCAAAAGUGGACAUAUGGAGUUGUGGAGCACUGGUUCUAUAUCGAUUUGAUGACCGAUAUAAGACUGACACAACUCCAGGCAUCUACUUGACAUCAAAUUAGAGUUGACAAAAUAAGGUGCUGAGAAAGGAGGAAGUGAUUGAUGAUAGAGGAUACAAAUAGACUGAAGUAUUUGAAAUAUUGCAGCUGCUACAAUAUAAGGGGCCUUCAAAUUAUGUAAACCAUAUUGAUUACUUUUUGUACAAUACUCUUUAAAUCAGAGUAACUGUUAUUCUUUGUGUUAGGAGAUUCUGGAAAAAGACUACAAGAAAGAGGAAGGAAAGGGGGGGGGGGG